rnacentral:tRNA from 1 species
GGGGAGGGUAGUGAAAAAAUCAUGGGUGGUUGUCUUCCGCCUGUUGCGCCGUGAAACGCCCCUCCCCU